GUUUAAGUAGUUUAAUAAAAACGUUGGUUUGUGAUAUCAAAAAUAUAAAAAAUUUUAUUUUAAACC
rnacentral:tRNA from 1 species